rnacentral:lncRNA from 1 species
AGCUAAGAAGUACUUUUUGUUGGAAUGGUUUUGUUGUUGUUGUUUAAACAGGUUUUCAAGCUUUAGCUGUAUGGCCAGAAGUCAUUUUAAGUAAAAACAAGCGGAAAGGGUUACUUUUUCCUCAGAUCUGCACUACACACUGGAUAUUCUAUAUGGAGAGCUGCAGUGAAAGACUGAACCUUGUUCCUGCCUCCCAGCAAAUAUUUCUAUGCUGCUGUUGCUGCUGCUAAGUUGCUUCAGUCGUGUUCGACUCUGUGAGACCCCAUAGACAGCAGCCCAUCAGGCUCUCCCAUCCCUGGGAUUCUCCAGGCAAGAACACUGGAGUGGGUUGCCAUUUCCUUCUCCGAUACAUGAAAGUGAAAUGUGAAAGUGAAGUCGCUCAGUCGUGUCCAACUCUUCGCAACCUCAUGGACUGCAGCCCACCAGGCUCCUCUGUCUAAGGGAUUUUCCAGGCAGGAGUACUGGUGUGGGGUGCCAUUGCCUUCUCCAAGCAUUUCUGCACCACAUCCUUCAGUAGCAUUAAAGAUGAGAAAUGACAUGGAGAAAAUAAAGUUUCUAAGAAGAGUUCCUUGGGUUAGUUAUCUGACUGUCAGAACCACACCACUCCAAAAUAAGCUCCAAGAAAUGCCUCUCAGAAGUCGGUGAAUAUCAUAGCCGUUAAUCAGCCUUAAGCUUUCGUAUUUAUCCUAAUUCAAAGCACUCAUCUCCGAGUAUUUUGUGCCUGUCCCGCACAACUGAUGAUGCACUUAACCUUCCAGCUGUCUUUCAAGUUUACCUGCUUCUUUCGAUGUAUUAUAGC